CGACCCUCGAGCCUCCCUGUGGUGGUUCGGUGCUGGGACGCUACAGCGCUAGCAAGCGCUGUAGGUCCCGAAAUACAGUGGCGGCCUCGCCGAGACCCCGAGCGCAGUAAACCGUGCCCUAGCACAGCGCCUCGUUCAGGGUGUCCGGCGGGUGCCCCGGCCGUUAAACCCCCCAAUUUACAA
rnacentral:misc_RNA from 1 species